rnacentral:rRNA from 1 species
CCUACGGGUGGCUGCAGUGGGGAAUUUUGGACAAUGGGGGCAACCCUGAUCCAGCCAUGCCGCGUGAGUGAAGAAGGCCUUCGGGUUGUAAAGCUCUUUCGGCCGGGAAGAAAUCGCUCAAGCUAAUACCUUGGGUGGAUGACGGUACCGGAAGAAGAAGCACCGGCUAACUACGUGCCAGCAGCCGCGGUAAUACGUAGGGUGCGAGCGUGCGUCAGGCGUACUGGGCGUAAGCCAUAAGACGGAUGCGAAAUCCCCGGGCUUAACCUGGGAACUGCGUUUGUGACUGUGGUGCUCGAGUGCGGCAGAGGGGGGUGGAAUUCCACGUGUAGCAGUGAAAUGCGUAGAGAUGUGGAGGAACACCGAUGGCGAAGGCAGCCCCCUGGGUCGACACUGACGCUCAUGCACGAAAGCGUGGGGAGCAAACAGGAUUAGAUACCCUUGUAGUC